AUUGAACGCUGGCGGCAUGCUUUACACAUGCAAGUCGAACGGUAACAGGUUAAGCUGACGAGUGGCGAACGGGUGAGUAAUGCAUCGGAACGUGCCCGAUCGUGGGGGAUAACGCAGCGAAAGCUGCGCUAAUACCGCAUACGAUCUGAGGAUGAAAGCGGGGGACCGUAAGGCCUCGCGCGAUCGGAGCGGCCGAUGUCAGAUUAGGUAGUUGGUGGGGUAAAGGCUCACCAAGCCGACGAUCUGUAGCUGGUCUGAGAGGACGACCAGCCACACUGGGACUGAGACACGGCCCAGACUCCUACGGGAGGCAGCAGUGGGGAAUUGUGGACAAUGGGCGAAAGCCUGAUCCAGCAAUGCCGCGUGCAGGAAGAAGGCCUUCGGGUUGUAAAGCUCUUUCGCAAGGGAAGAAAACUUAGUUCUUAAUACGAGCUGAGGAUGACGGUACCUUGAUAAGAAGCACCGGCUAACUACGUGCCAGCCGCCGCCGUAACAC
rnacentral:rRNA from 1 species